GCGCGUGCCUAUACAUGCAGUCGAGCGAUGAUUAAAGAUAGCUUGCUAUUUUUAUGAAGAGCGGCGAACGGGUGAGUAACGCGUGGGAAAUCUGCCGAGUAGCGGGGGACAACGUUUGGAAACGAACGCUAAUACCGCAUAACAAUGAGAAUCGCAUGAUUCUUAUUUAAAAGAAGCAAUUGCUUCACUACUUGAUGAUCCCGCGUUGUAUUAGCUAGUUGGUAGUGUAAAGGACUACCAAGGCGAUGAUACAUAGCCGACCUGAGAGGGUGAUCGGCCACACUGGGACUGAGACACGGCCCAGACUCCUACGGGAGGCAGCAGUAGGGAAUCUUCGGCAAUGGGGGCAACCCUGACCGAGCAACGCCGCGUGAGUGAAGAAGGUUUUCGGAUCGUAAAACUCUGUUGUUAGAGAAGAACGUUAAGUAGAGUGGAAAAUUACUUAAGUGACGGUAUCUAACCAGAAAGGGACGGCUAACUACGUGCCAGCAGCCGCGGUAAUACGUAGGUCCCAAGCGUUGUCCGGAUUUAUUGGGCGUAAAGCGAGCGCAGGUGGUUUCUUAAGUCUGAUGUAAAAGGCAGUGGCUCAACCAUUGUGUGCAUUGGAAACUGGGAGACUUGAGUGCAGGAGAGGAGAGUGGAAUUCCAUGUGUAGCGGUGAAAUGCGUAGAUAUAUGGAGGAACACCGGAAGCGAAAGCGGCUCUCUGGCCUGUAACUGACACUGAGGCUCGAAAGCGUG
rnacentral:rRNA from 1 species